rnacentral:rRNA from 1 species
CGUAGGGGCAAGCGUUGUUCGGAAUUACUGGGCGUAAAGGGCGCGUAGGCGGUUUCUUAAGUCAAGUGGUGAAAACUAUGGGCUCAACCCAUAGCCUGCCUUUGAAACUGGGAGACUUGAGGACAGGAGAGGGGAGUGGAAUUCCCAGUGUAGCGGUGAAAUGCGUAGAUAUUGGGAGGAACACCAGUGGCGAAGGCGGCUCUCUGGCCUGUAACUGACGCUGAGGCGCGAAAGCGUGGGGAGCGAACGGGAUU